rnacentral:lncRNA from 10 species
AUUUUGAACAACUGAGGUUAAGCAAAAGCACGGAAUCAUGAAAAUUAUUCUUUGAAAUGGCAAAGAUUUCUGUGGCUGGAUCAUGGGAUUUAUUGACUGGAGCGAUUUCUCCUCAGAAGACCAGACACAUAAAGCUUCUUAUGUCUCUUCCCUGACAUUUCACAAAAUAGAGAAAAAGGAAAGGAAAAAAAUAUCCCUGAGGAAAGGCUAAGUGUAAAGAAGAAUUUGAUUUUGGCAUUGCUUUGAGAGGUUCCACUUACUUCCUCAACCCAUGGAAUGCUUAUUGUUGAACCAACACCGUAAGAAAGACACAGCUUCAGCUUCAAUAAGACUGCACUGUAUGCAAAAACAUUGAAUAAAUGGAUAAAUAAUAAUUUUUGAACUCCUAUUGUGUGCCAGAAAUGGUAGUGAGAAUUCUACAUGUGACUCAAAGAUCCUGACAAAGAUUUUAUAAAGUAUUUUCAUUAUCCCCAUUUUAUAGAUGAGAAAGCUGAGGCAGAAACAGGUUGUGUAUCUUUCCCAAGGUUGACAUGAUAAGAAAGUAGCCGAGUCAGGAUUCAGUCCCAGCACUCUGAUUCCAGGGCUCAUCUGCUCAUGUGCUAUGUUCACUGACUCCUAGAGAAGAAAUUAGAAAUAACACCACCCUUACAUUAAACUUUCCAAAGAAUAUAAAAAGAGAGAAC